GACGAACGCUGGCGGCGUGCUUAACACAUGCAAGUCGAACGAUGAAGCUGGAGCUCGCUCCGGUGGAUUAGUGGCGAACGGGUGAGUAACACUUGAGAAAUCUGCCCUUGACUCUGGGAUAACUGCGGGAAACUGUAGCUAAUACCGGAUAUUUUCCUUGGUGGGCAUCCACUGGGGAAGAAAGAAUUUCGGUCAAGGAUGAUCUCGCGGCCUAUCAGCUAGUUGGUGAGGUAAUGGCUCACCAAGGCGACGACGGGUAGACGGCCUGAGAGGGUGACCGGCCACACUGGGACUGAGACACGGCCCAGACUCCUACGGGGGGCAGCAGUGGGGAAUAUUGCACAAUGGGCGCAAGCCUGAUGCAGCAACGCCGCGUGGGGGAUGAAGGCCUUCGGGUUGUAAACCUCUUUUAGCAGGGAAGAAGCGAAAGUGACGGUACCUGCAGAAAAAGCACCGGCUAACUACGUGCCAGCAGCCGCCGUAA
rnacentral:rRNA from 1 species